CUCACCGUCAGCCGGGCUGCCACCACAACAAUUAGCUUCUGUAACUCAUCGAAGUCUCUCAUUCAGCAUCUUUCAUCUUCCUUUUCAAAAAAAGUUUACUUUCCAUGUUUAAAGACACAUCAGUUCCACUACAGCAGCUGCCAUUAGAAAAGGGAACCUUUGUGAUUUUACAUUGUAAACAUUUCAUUUUCUGGCCAGUGGCCAUACCAAGCAAAACUACCCCAAUAUUUUUGAUUUACAUUCAAUUCACUAACAAAGACCACGCCAAUGUGACGUAUGAAAAGGUAGUUUAUUCGGAAAAUGAGCAGUAUUUAUGGUGGAGGGCUCGAGGGGAGAGGGAUGAAGACGUCAAGAAUGGAGGGAUGAUGGAGGUCGUUAAAGGUUUGGUGUGGCUAGGAACCUGGGGGUCAAGACUCAGGGCGGUGGCUCAUCUCGUGGGAGGAAACCAGAGCAACCGGGGGAAACCCGCGCAAACACAGGGAGAACACACAAACGCCACACAAAACAGCCUGGGCUGAGCGAGGUCUGAACCCAGGACCUUCUUGCUGUGAGGUCGCAGUGCUGUCCACCGGGGCAUUGAAAUGCCCCUUGAAAGAGGUCAUGCAGCACAGAUGACAGCCUGAUGCAGAGAUGAUUGCCACGAUAGUCAAAUAGUCGUGCAGUUGCUGUGAUCUGACCUCCCCAUGGCACAAUAAUGUGAAAAAUAUAUUUGCCUGUUGUAAUUUACCGUAAAAAAAUAAAAUAUGA